UCCCGUUUAGCUCAGUUGGUAGAGCGCGUCACUAGUACCGAGUUGCUCUCCGAGUGCAAUGAUGUGGCUAUGACGAGGUCAGUCGUUCGAGUCGGCUAAUGGGAA